CCUACGGGAGGCAGCAGUGAGGAAUAUUGGUCAAUGGACGAGAGUCUGAACCAGCCAAGUAGCGUGAAGGAUGACUGCCCUAAGGGUUGUAAACUUCUUUUAUAUGGGAAUAAAAUGUUCCACGUGUGGGAUUUUGUAUGUACCAUAUGAAUAAGGAUCGGCUAACUCCGUGCCAGCAGCCGCGGUAAUACGGAGGAUCCGAGCGUUAUCCGGAUUUAUUGGGUUUAAAGGGAGCGUAGGUGGAUUGUUAAGUCAGUUGUGAAAGUUUGCGGCUCAACCGUAAAAUUGCAGUUGAAACUGGCAGUCUUGAGUACAGUAGAGGUGGGCGGAAUUCGUGGUGUAGCGGUGAAAUGCUUAGAUAUCACGAAGAACUCCGAUUGCGAAGGCAGUUCACUGGACUGCAACUGACACUGAGGCUCGAAAGUGUGGGUAUCAAACAGGAUUAGAUACCCCAGUAGUC
rnacentral:rRNA from 1 species